GGAGUGGGUUGUGAUUUCCUCCUCCGAAGGAUCUUACUGACACAAGAUGUAAUCUGAAUCUCCUGCAUUGGCAGGCAGAUUCUUUACUGCUGAGUCACUCGUUAGGCGGCUCAGCUACUCGAGUAGAAAGUCUCCUGAUUCUAAGUGGGCUCUAGGGGGCGCUGCACUGGCGGUUUGUCUUGAGCGCAGGAGGUGCUUUAGUCUUGCUUCUCACGGAGGACUGAGGGAAGAGCUUGCUCUACUGAGAGAAGAUACAGGUGCCAGGAAGCACCAGGGGGCAUUUAUAAAACGCUGUGCUCGUGGAGAACAUAGUCUCUGGGGGGUGGUGCCAUAUCUCCAGCAAAGGUGAGCUGCAAAAGAGCCCCCAUCCAGCCCAGCUUGAGCCAUGGCCUCUGCACACAUCUGGACACUUGGGAUUCUGUUUACACUCAGUGGGCUGAGAGCUCAGUCGGUGACUCAGCCAGAAGCUGAGGUCCCUGUCUCGGAAGGGGAUCCAGUGACUGUGAAGUGCACCUAUUCAGUUUCGCGGAGCCCUUAUCUUUUUUGGUAUGUCCAGCAUCACAAUCAAGGUCUCCAGUUUCUUCUGAAAUACAUCUCUGGGGACACCUUGGUUAAAGGCAACUAUGGUUUUGAGGCUGAACUUAACAAGAGCCAAACCUCUUUCCACCUGAAGAAACCAUCUGUUCUAGGGAGUGACUCUGCCUUGUACUUCUGUGCUGUGAGGGACACAGUGGUGGGGGCCGCAGGGAGAGCUGAAUGCAAACCCCUGAGCACAGAAAACCCUACUCCUGAAGCCUUAGUGUCCCUCCACAAGGUGGCGGUGUGGCUCUAGGAUUUGUUCUUCAUUAUAACUUUUUUUUUUUUUUGGUAAAGCCACAAAAUUUGUUCAUUUGACAAGUAUAUAUUGAAAUAAAUCGUGUGUGCCAGAUACUCUGCUGAGCACUGAUCAUAAAGAGGUGAAGAAACCAUCCUUGAUCUGCAGAUGCCAGGUGUGAUCCCAAACAUUUGUG